AGAGUUUGAUCCUGGCUCAGAACGAACGCUGGCGGCGUGCCUAACACAUGCAAGUCAAACGGUUGGUAGCAAUACUGACAGUGGCGCACGGGUGAGUAAAGCAUGGGUGAUCUGCCUUUUAGUUGGGGAUAACUAUACGAAAGUGUAGCUAAUACCGGAUAAGCAGUACUGAGUGAGAUAGGUACUGGAAAGUUGGGGACCGUAAGGCCUGAUGCUGAGAGAGGAGCUCAUGUCCCAUUAGUUAGUUGGUUGGGUAAAGGCUGACCAAGACGUAGAUGGGUAACUGGUCUGAGAGGACGAUCAGUCACACUGGAACUGAGACACGGUCCAGACUCCUACGGGAGGCAGCAGUGGGGAAUAUUGCACAAUGGAGGAAACUCUGAUGCAGCAACGCCGCGUGAGUGAAGAAGGCCUUAGGGUUGUAAAGCUCUUUCGGCUGGGAAGAAGUGUGUUUUGUUUAAGAGAUGAGACAUGUGAUGGUACCAGAAUAAGAAGCACCGGCAAACUUCGUGCCAGCAGCCGCGGUAAUACGAAGGGUGCGAGCGUUGUUCGGAAUUAUUGGGUGUAAAGGGUUCGUAGGCGGGGAUAUAAGUUGAGUGUGAAACUCCAGAGCUUAACUUUGGAAGUGCAUUCAAGACUGUGUUUCUUGAGUAUUGGAGGGGGUGAUGGAAUUGCUGGUGUAGGAGUGACAUCCGUAGAGAUCAGCAGGAACGCCGGAGGCGAAAGCGAUUACCUGGCCGAAUACUGACGCUGAGGAACGAAAGCGUGGGGAUCAAACAGGAUUAGAUACCCUGGUAGUCCACGCCGUAAACGAUGUUCACUAGGUGUUGGGGGUAUUGACCCCCUCAGUGCCGCAGUUAACGCAUUAAGUGAACCGCCUGGGGAGUACGGUCGCAAGACUAAAACUCAAAGGAAUUGACGGGGGCCCGCACAAGCGGUGGAGUAUGUGGUUUAAUUCGAUGCAACGCGAAGAACCUUACCUGGGCUUGACAUUCCGGGAGCCCCCUGGAAACAGGGGGGUGCCCUUUGGGGAACCCGGUGACAGGUGCUGCAUGGCUGUCGUCAGCUCGUGUCGUGAGAUGUUGGGUUAAGUCCCGCAACGAGCGCAACCCUUGUCCUUAGUUGCUACGCAAGGGCACUCUAAGGAAACUGCCGGUGUUAAGCCGGAGGAAGGUGGGGAUGACGUCAAGUCCUCAUGGCCUUUAUGCCCAGGGCUACACACGUACUACAAUGGACGGUACAAAGAGCUGCAAACCCGCGAGGGUAAGCCAAUCUCAAAAAGCCGUUCUCAGUUCGGAUUGGAGUCUGCAACUCGACUCUAUGAAGUCGGAAUCGCUAGUAAUCGCGGAUCAGCAUGCCGCGGUGAAUACGUUCCCGGGCCUUGUACACACCGCCCGUCACACCCUGAAAGUUGAUUGCACCAGAAGUCGUUGGGCUAACUUCUAUUUAUAGAGGAGGCAGGCGCCUACGGUGUGGUUGGUGAUUGGGGUGAAGUCGUAACAAGGUAACC
rnacentral:rRNA from 1 species